CCAGUGUGGAUGUGGCCUCUUCAGCAAGGUCUCAUGGAGUUGGAACACUCCAGUCCGGCCAGUCCUCGGCAUGAGGCCUCGGCUGAAUUGCUCACCUCUUUGAGCUUCAGUUUCAUGGGUAGAAUCCUACCUAGGAAGUAAUAUUCUUGCUUCGUAAGGCAAUAUCGUUGAAGGGUUACCAGCAUGGCUUUGGAGUCAGACAGUCUGUGGUUCAAAUCUUACCUUCAUGACUUUCUACCUCUUUGAUUUGGGGCAAGUUCUAACCACUGGACUUUUCUCUUCUGUAAAAUGGGGACAUGGAAUCUAUUUCACAGGGCUGUGGCAAGUUUAAACGAGAUCACAUAUGACCUGCUUAAGUCAAAGCAGGGUACACUGUAUGGGUUUGAUCCAUGUAGGCGUUCCCCACUGUGUCUACCUCACAGGGCAGUUGUGAGGAUGAAGGGUAGAGGCUGGGGGUGCUUUCUAAGCUGUGAAGUGAUACGUAUUUACCUCUCUUUACUCUGGAGGUGGGGAGAUAGGAAGUUUCUGCCAGACACUAGUAGAAUGCCCAAGGGAAGGGCCUGGUAUGUUUCUGUCCAUACAGUGUGGCUGGGCUGAAGGGAAGGUACUAUGCUGGGUGCUGGUGGACAGGGCACGACACAGCCUCUGGUGAGUGUUAUUGCAAUAAAGUGGAGAGAUUA
rnacentral:lncRNA from 1 species